UACGAAGGGGGCUAGCGUUGCUCGGAAUCACUGGGCGUAAAGCGCACGUAGGCGGAUCUUUAAGUCAGGGGUGAAAUCCCGAGGCUCAACCUCGGAACUGCCUUCGAUACUGGAAGACUUGAGUCCGGGAGAGGUGAGUGGAACUGCGAGUGUAGAGGUGAAAUUCGUAGAUAUUCGCAAGAACACCAGUGGCGAAGGCGGCUCACUGGCCCGGUACUGACGCUGAGGUGCGAAAGCGUGGGGAGCAAACAGG
rnacentral:rRNA from 1 species